GGCGCGCUUCACACAUGCAAGUCGAGCGAUGGCGCCGGUUUUCGGAUCGGUGUGCAGAGCGGCGGACGGGUGAGUAACACGUGAGUAACCUGCCCUGGGCGUGGGGAUAACCCUGGGAAACUGGGGCUAAUACCGGAUGGCCCUGCCUAUUCGCAUGGAUGGGUGGGGAAAGGUUCAUCUUCGUAAGGGGGUGUUCCGGCUUGGGAGGGGCUCGCGGCCCAUCAGCUUGUUGGUGCGGUGAGGGCGUACCAAGGCGAUGACGGGUAGCCGGCCUGAGAGGGUGAUCGGCCACACUGGGACUGAGACACGGCCCAGACUCCUACGGGAGGCAGCAGUGGGGAAUUUUGCGCAAUGGGCGGAAGCCUGACGCAGCGACGCCGUGUGGGGGAGGACGGCCUUCGGGUUGUAAACCUCUUUCGGCCCUGACGAAUGUGACGGUAGGGGCUAAAGAAGCGCCGGCUAACUACGUGCCAGCAGCCGCGGUAAUACGUAGGGCGCGAGCGUUGUCCGGAUUUACUGGGCGUAAAGGGCUCGUAGGCGGUUUGUCGCGUCGGUCGUGGAAAUGUCUGGCUUAACUGGGCACGUGCGGCUGAUACGGGCAGACUCGAGGGCG
rnacentral:rRNA from 1 species